GUGAGGAAUAUUGGUCAAUGGACGAGAGUCUGAACCAGCCAAGUCGCGUGAAGGAAGACGGUUCUAUGAAUUGUAAACUUCUUUUGUGCAGGAAUAAAGUGGGUUACGUGUAACCUUUUGUAUGUACUGUACGAAUAAGGAUCGGCUAACUCCGUGCCAGCAGCCGCGGUAAUACGGAGGAUCCGAGCGUUAUCCGGAUUUAUUGGGUUUAAAGGGUGCGUAGGUGGAUUGAUGAGUCAGCGGUGAAAGUUUGCAGCUUAACUGUAAAAUUGCCGUUGAAACUGUCGGUCUUGAGUGCAAAUGAGGUAGGCGGAAUGUGUUGUGUAGCGGUGAAAUGCUUAGAUAUAACACAGAACUCCGAUUGCGAAGGCAGCUUACUGGGAUGCAACUGACACUGAUGCACGAAAGCGUGGGUAUCAAACAGGAUUAGAUACCCGUGUAGUCC
rnacentral:rRNA from 1 species